GAUGAACGCUGGCGGCGUGCCUAAUACAUGCAAGUCGAGCGAACAGAUAAGGAGCUUGCUCCUUUGACGUUAGCGGCGGACGGGUGAGUAACACGUGGGUAACCUACCUAUAAGACUGGAAUAACUCCGGGAAACCGGGGCUAAUGCCGGAUAACAUUUAGAACCGCAUGGUUCUAAAGUGAAAGAUGGUUUUGCUAUCACUUAUAGAUGGACCCGCGCCGUAUUAGCUAGUUGGUAAGGUAACGGCUUACCAAGGCAACGAUACGUAGCCGACCUGAGAGGGUGAUCGGCCACACUGGAACUGAGACACGGUCCAGACUACUACGGGAGGCAGCAGUAGGGAAUCUUCCGCAAUGGGCGAAAGCAUGACGGAGAAACGCCGCGUGAGUGAUGAAGGUCUUCGGAUCGUAAAACUCUGUUAUUAGGGAAGAACAAAUGUGUAAGUAACUGUGCACGUCUUGACGGUACCUAAUCAGAAAGCCACGGCUAACUACGUG
rnacentral:rRNA from 1 species